rnacentral:lncRNA from 1 species
UUUUUUUUUAAACCAACUUUUCUUCGAUUAUGGUAUAGUACAACAUUCUUUUCCGAACUUUCCUUUAAAAUGUCUUCAUCAUCAUUUUUUAAUUUUUUAUUCUUUUAUUUCUUUAUUUUUGCUAUUAUUUUUAUAUUUAUUAAACAAAAUAACACAUUCUGAAGUCUGUAUAUACAAUUUAUUUGCGCUUCUCUGACGGGUGCGAUCAUACCAGCAAUAAUGCACCGGAU